rnacentral:lncRNA from 1 species
GUAUUAAAAUUUUAUCGCUAGAAGUCACUAUGAAUUGAAUUGGAAUUGAAUCUUCUUUAUCAACCAACACAUUUCUUCCAUUGUUUUACCGUUUUUUCAUGCGAGGACGCUUCUUCCUUUCAUAAUCUAUACAACUUCAUUGGUAAAUCACAGUUACUUGCUCUCCGUUAGACUAUAUGCAAGAUGUUCUCAUCGCUUAAUGCAGGUACCAUCUACUUGUAUGAUACUGUGCUAUAUUUAUUAUAGAAUAUGCAAUUCCUGUAUCGUUACAUAUUUCAGAUCAUCAAAAUAGUUCUUUCGAUAUAAAGUAAGAACUUCAAUGUAAUUAGUUAGUUCUUAUCAUAAGAAUUAUAUUCAUGAUAUUUAAAAUGAUUAACAUUAUAUUAAUAUAUAAUUGUAGCCGAUAUAAGGAUAGUAAUUAUGAUUUAAGAGAAAUGUAAUCCGAAUAGAUUCUGCGAAUGGUGUUUAGUAUAUCGUUCCAUUCUUAUGCAGCUGUUAAGUAUAAAUUGUUAAUAUUGCAUUUUAAUAAUUGCAUUUAAAUAAUGCAGUUAAUAUUGCAACUGUUAAGCAUAAGUUGUUAAUAUUUAGAUAAUAAAAAUAUUCUAUAGAUUUUUUAAA